rnacentral:rRNA from 1 species
UACGGGAGGCAGCAGUGGGGAAUAUUGCACAAUGGGCGCAAGCCUGAUGCAGCGACGCCGCGUGAGGGAUGACGGCCUUCGGGUUGUAAACCUCUUUCAGCAGGGAAGAAGCGAAAGUGACGGUACCUGCAGAAGAAGCGCCGGCUAACUACGUGCCAGCAGCCGCGGUAAUACGUAGGGCGCAAGCGUUGUCCGGAAUUAUUGGGCGUAAAGAGCUCGUAGGCGGCUUGUCGCGUCGGAUGUGAAAGCCCGGGGCUUAACCCCGGGUCUGCAUUCGAUACGGGCAGGCUAGAGUUCGGUAGGGGAGAUCGGAAUUCCUGGUGUAGCGGUGAAAUGCGCAGAUAUCAGGAGGAACACCGGUGGCGAAGGCGGAUCUCUGGGCCGAUACUGACGCUGAGGAGCGAAAGCGUGGGGAGCGAACAGGAUUAGAUACCCUGGUAGUCCACGCCGUAAACGGUGGGCACUAGGUGUGGGCAACAUUCCACGUUGUCCGUGCCGCAGCUAACGCAUUAAGUGCCCCGCCUGGGGAGUACGGCCGC